GUCGUUAGCUCAGUUGGUAGAGCAGUUGACUUUUAAUCAAUUGGUCGCAGGUUCGAAUCCCGCACGACCCA
rnacentral:tRNA from 1 species